rnacentral:lncRNA from 1 species
CCGCUACUCAAUACUGAAAUCCUGCACUUUGCAGACUUCAGUAUCAGAACUUCACUCUCGCAUUGCGCCGAGUCCGUUUUGCGUCCAAUUCGCGCUAAAACGACUCCGACUUGUUCCGACACCCACCAGACGUGUCAACAAGUCAUAGAUGCUGAAGUUUCUCAGAUAGCAAAACCCCAAGGACACUAAAAUCAAAUUUAAAUUUAAAUAUAAAUAUCUAUUUAAAUUUUAAUUUUAUUCGAUUUAUAAUUUUUAUUUUAUCUAAAAUUUAGAGUUUAAAUUAAUUAUAUAAUUUAAUUUUAAAUUAAAAUUAAAAUUUGAGUUUAAAUUGUGACUUAAAUAUAAUUUUGAAUAUUAAAUUUCAAUUAAUAGUUAACAAUUUUAAUUAAAGUGGAUCAAAAUUAAAUUUUGAAUUUUAAUAAAUAUGAAUUAAAAUUUUGAUA